rnacentral:rRNA from 1 species
AUACGGAAGGUGCAAGCGUUAAUCGGAAUCACUGGGCGUAAAGCGCUCGUAGGUGGCUUUGUAAGUCAGGUGUGAAAGCCCACGGCUCAACCGUGGAACUGCACUUGAUACUGCAUUGCUUGAGUUCGGGAGAGGGUAGUGGAAUUCCAGGUGUAGGAGUGAAAUCCGUAGAGAUCUGGAGGAACACCAGUGGCGAAGGCGACUACCUGGACCGAUACUGACGGUGAGUAACGAAAGCCAGGGGCGC